rnacentral:snoRNA from 1 species
CUUCCCAUUUGACUACCACAUUUUGUCCUAAUAAUAGAUUUUAGUGGCUAUGCUUAUGGGAUAGAUUA